GGAGACUGAUGAGUUCCCGGGA
rnacentral:miRNA from 1 species